CGUGUCCACAAAAGGUUUGACAAAAUGAAGCCUGUUUCUCGAACCUGUAAUGCUUGGCGGCUGGGCAGCUAGCCUCUUAGGAGGGUCUUUCCACCCUGGACUUUUUUGAGAAGUCUCCAUUUGCUUGUGACAGAUUGCUUUACCUUUGGCUGCUCCAAGAUGGUUCUAUUCAGCAACAAAGCAACUGUUGCUUUGUUUGUAUCGUAUGCAGCGCUAGCCGUUAAACAAUCGCAUGAUCCAGUUUUAGAACGCGAAAAACUGUUGGUUGCCGCAUACGAGGUAUAUCUCGCCCAGAAUAUCAGCUACGACUGCUUCCAAUAUGCAGAACGUAACAGUGUCGCUGAAUGCGACUGUUCUGCAUGUUUAGAAGCACAGCCUGACUUCGUGACGAGAAUGUGCACUUUCCGAAGAGCCAGGGCCCGUGUGUACGCAGACGCAAUCGACAGGACGAAGGUCCAAGCUAAAAACUGGAUGUGGAGAGCAAUAUGCAAUCCGAGGUGCCGUUUUCGCCUCCCAUCGACGUGUUGCGACCCCGUAGGGUCAAAACUGCCGAUGCAGGCCGGGUGUCCUACCUGUUUACCAACCGACAACUCUAUUUUUUCAGCCGACUUGAGAGGCCACCAUGUCUCGUGUCUAUUUGAAACGACGCACAAAACCCAAUCGUUUUCAGAAUCGAAUUGGUUUCAACGCUACCUGGUUGUCCUAGGACUCAUGGAUCAAGCCAAGCUGAGCGAUAAAUGCAUGCAGUAUGCUCUUCUUGGCAAGGCGGCUCCGUGUAAUUGCAGGUCUUGUCUCGGAUCCGAAGCGACCAGUCGAGCACUCCGCGAGAAGCUUUGCGAGUACGGACGAUUAGUACGCGCCAAGAAAGAACUGCACCGACCCUCUUUCUGGGCAGACAGCCACUAUUUAUUGAAAUUCUGCGACUUCUACACCUGUCCUGAGAUUCCACACGAGUGCUGCUCGUUAUACAGAAGUAAAGAAGUGGAUAGGAACGGUUGCCCAGUUUGUCUCCCUACAUCUAUCGUUAGCGAAUUCGGGCCCCGCUGUAGCGUCUGGGUCACUGGAUUACCCGAGAAAAUGCUAGAUCGUCUUAUAGCCCGUUUCGAAGUUUGAAACAUUUUCAGGCACCUCACAGGAUAACAAAUUCGAGAAAGGUGAAAAGACACAACGGAAGUAUCCUUUGAUUCCAAGGUAAUGCUAGAAGUUAGGGGUAAAAUAAACCUGUUUUGUUUCCGCUUCGUAUUUUAGCUAAACUGGACCAUUCAUUCAUGUGGCAAUACAAACUUUACGGUAAAUAUUUAGCGUUAGCAUAUUUACAUUUUGCCAUCAAGUAACAGACUUAGAUAUAAUGGUCACCUUUUAGGGGAGGGUCAUCGCGUAGUCUGGGCCUACUCAGAUAAGGCCCCCGCAAAUGUAACGAAGUUCGACUUAGAUUGCAUUUUUCAACUGUAUCUUUCCGGAGAUUAUUAAUUCUACAUAAGCUCCUUUAUUAGUCACAAUUUCAUAUCAUCAUACCGACUACGUUCUAACUAUUGUACCUUUAGAUAGUUUCCGCUUCCAAUACACGACUCUUUGGGACAGCGUCCUUAUUCAAUCUAGAAAUAAUAGAUCUCAAUUAAUUCCAACGUAAUUUUAAUAAAUUGAAUUUUGAUCUGAGCUGAAUUUUGAAAUGGCUAUAAGAUCAUUUAAGACACAGGGCUGCGGUAAAUUCCCGCGAUCAAGAAACACCCAGACGUGGUCCUUCGGGCAGCAGCUUAUCAGAUUGUCUCCGUAUUUAGGUCCCCACUUGAUAACGCAAUUGUCCUUAUACCAAAUGAUCACAAAGGGUAUCACAAAAGUUCAAAGUUUGCCAUACAGCAUAAAAUUCCAGAGUUCAAUCUAUUAAGGGAGCACCCAUAUGUAGCUACCGAUAUUGCAGUUAUUAGAUCAAUCUAUUCAAUCAUCGAUCUGUCAUGCGUCACUAUCAACAGUUUCUACCGCGAUAUGCUCAAACGAGAUGCGAUAUCGGUUCAUAUAAAAACCUAGCAGAUUACGGGAUUUCCCUUGCUUUGAUCCAGUCAAGUAGCUCAGUGGAAUAUAACUAGGGCUUCUAUAGAGAUGCCUCUGGACAAACAUUGCCGCGGAUGCCUUCCAAAAAAUGAUAAUUCUAAAAAAAAUAAUAAAAGGUAUGCGUAUAUCUAUAUAAUAUGAGGGAGGCCGAAUGGCAAUUAUUUGAGAAGUAGAAUCUAAACAGAGCUUUCCUGGCAAUUAAGCGGAUUUUCUUUGUUCCUCCUUUUACGUACUCUUGCUAAAACCUCUCCAUUUCUCAACAGCUACAAACCUCCCGCACGACGUCCAUGACCGAUCAUGUUAAAAAGAAGUUUCGAUGUAUACAUUUUGUCGUAAAAAAUGUUUAAUAUAUAAAAGCUCGCCGACAGCAGAGGAGGAUACACACAGAAUUGAAAACCAAAGAAUAGAUCUAGUCGAAUGUGAAUGUAUCUGAAAAGUCAUUUGACAAAAUCGUACAGGGAGCUAUUUUCGCUAUUGGGGCCUAGGGAACGUCUGCUAUGAGCCUUCGAAGGUUUUAGAAGGUCUGGUACUGUUUCCAGAAAAUUGUUUGCAGCUACGCCACACCCAGGUCUUCCAAAAUGUUGGUGACCUUCAAAAGCUUAGUCUUCAUAUUAUUCGUAUCGUAUUUUCCAGAAAAGUACUUAUUUAUAGCGUCUCACCCUCCUCCUAACCAUCAGAUAGGAAAUGUACUAUCAAUAUCGACUGUAUCUUGUGUGCAUGUUUUAGAUGUACACACUUUUACUAGUCUCUUAUUAUUUGUUGCUUUUAAAUUUUGUUUCAACAUGUCAAUUUGAGCACAUGGAAAGCUUUUGAUAUACACUUUUAUUAUUGAUUUACUUUUGGUCUGAAUUUGUAAAUGGACGCGCUGGCGGCAUUUUACAAAGUAAAAAGCGUGCUUAAAAAAUAAACGUAAUAACACUCGUCGAAUGAACAGGUCAAAUCGAUCGAGGAUCGGUAAAAGCCUAGUUUUCGACAAACGACUAAAUUUAGUUAGAAAAAUAGAAAGGUAUGUUACCCAAUGCUUUUACCAAUCAUUGUUCGUCUUUUCCCUUUACGUAUUAUCAUUUUUUCAUCAUACCUUUUUUUUUCUAGGUUUUUAUUUUCAAUUAAUUUCUAUAGACGUUUUAAGCUCGCUUGUAAUUAUAUUUGUUAUUUUACUAUCUGUUUUUACGUUUGGAGUUCACAUAUCCAGUUACGACUUUUCAUCCUUCACAUAUUGUUUAAUUGAUUGAAUAUCGAUAAUGUUGACUUCGAAAAUCAUCAGGUCUUCGUGCUUCAAUUCGGUUAUUAUUAUAUUAUAUUAAGUACAUAUAAUGGCGCCAAGUUUAUGAUCCGGAAUUAUGUUGAAAACGUACCUAUAUAGAGCAGUUAAAAAGCUUUUAGCUCAUAAACAAGUUCUGGGCAUGCAGAACAUGAUAGAAACUUACGUGACUCUCUGAUAUUUGUAUGUGUAACGUUAUCAGAUAUAGGAAUAGAAUUGUUUCGUGUGGAGACUGUAACGAGCAGGUAUUUUGUUGUAUACAGUUUAUUUUGUUAAUCUACGAUCCAAGUUAACUCGUCAGAGAUUUUUUACCACAGCCCAUGGCGUAGCUUCUGCACGGUAUCGGCGCGUAAAAAGCAACUAUACACUUUGGUUUUUAUUCCUUUUGCUCAGGUCUGCCAGUUCCUGAGGGCAUCAAUGCCCUAGCAAAUUUUUCACUUUUAAUUAACGAUUAUCUUUCGGAGAGCGUAAAAAAAUAUCGCCGAUGUUGUUUAUGAGGGAAAGCUAAAGGCUUCAGCUCUGCUUGACUCGUCGCCUGCAUAGAUACUCGAGAGUGAAGCUCUUAGAAUGUUAUAAGGCAUUCGGUUAAAUCUUUUCCCUAGGGGUUUCUUGGUGCCGCUUAGAUUAAGCCCUUACUCCAUCGUGUCACAUCUUUACUACAUCAUUUAAAAAGGCUUCAUAAGCAUUCUAUUAAUAUGUAAGAACCACAGCUGAUACCAGUGUUUUAGCUUCCCCAGCGAUUCUGCAGUAUUCUAAAAUAAUUUUACCAACCGUCGUAUUCGUUUGGCACAACCCUCUGUCUAUAUAUAGAGGGCCAUUAUGAACGUCUCAGAUGUCGGCGUCUCGGCAUGAUAAUAUUAAAUUAUAGCUAGCCGCUACGAACGACAAGUCAGAGAGAAAAAUGAUCGAGUAACAACUUUUUCAGCCCGUAGUACCGCUAAAUGGAGAGUUAGGUCGAGAGAGACCUGUCAGGCAACAAGUAGAAACUAAUCUGAAAUUCGUUAAAGGCUGAUUAGCAACUUCAUUGAUCUGAUUCGGUUGUGUGGAUGACGGUAAUUUUUUCGAUACCUAACCCUAUACAUACACAUGUAGUUCUCACUUACUUAUGGAAAGAGCUGAUUUCCGGAGUGUCCUCGCUCGAACAAAAUGGUUCCCUACGCUUCGUUCAAAUUUUCAUCUGAACUUUUCCGUUACAAAAAGAUGCCGUUUUAAACGUCACUCAUGAAAAACUAAAGGGAAACAAAUUUGAAUUGUCCUUUUUCUGCUUUGCAGUUCUCACUAUUGUUGAUAUAGGCACCCCUUCGUAUAACUAAAUCCUCUUGGGGCUUUGCGAGCACAGGCAAUCAGCACGUCUCGUAAGGGAACCAUGGCCAUCAAAUUUCCGGCUGGAAAGCGAAUAUCUCUUAUGAGAUUAACCUGACAAUUUUCUACAUGCAGUUAUAUUUAUUCGUACUACCGCUGUGUAUUGGAUACGCUGGUUAGGACGCAAAAAUGAGAGUGGGGAGUACGAAAAGAAAGGCUUCCGUUCUGAUGUACCGCAAUGCUAAAGAGGAAACAGGUCGACUUUUUCGUGCGAUCAGUCGAUUCCAUAGUUUUUUGCUCUACGGAGACAGCACGUAUUUCGGGUACAAUGUGGCGCACCGUAUCGUUUAAGCUAGUUUGCCAGCUGUUGAUAAGUAGCGUUUGAGCCUAAAUAGUAGUUUACCAAAUUCUGGUGAAUAUGAAGGCCAUGUUGUAUAGUUGAUUUGUCGUUUUUCCACUCUUACUAAAAACAAUGUUACCAGUUGCGUAGUCUCUUCCAUUAUUCAUGAUCUUUUUUGCCCCUCAAUAAUACGCUUAAGUCCUGAAAAGAUAAGUCUCAGGGCCCGUGCUCGUUCUAAACAGAAUCUUGCCUUCUGCUAAUCAUUCAGCAUACUUUAGAGCAACUACCUUUCGAUUUCCCAUAAAUUUCGUAACCGCAAAUUUUUCCCCUAUGCAAAUUUUAAAUGAUAAAACGUUGGCGCUACAUUUGGCAUCAUGAUUUAAUGAAGCCCCGCUCUAUGACCCCUCCGUCCAAUUUUUUUUCAACUUUUUUCCUCAUAGUUUGGAUUUGUACCGCACAGGGUAAAGACAAAAAAACGAAAGCUAAAAACCAGCUGAUUUAUAUACUUACGUUUGGAGUAUGAAAUCGUGUCGCGCUAAGUGAGACUCUGUGCGAAGAUUUUUAGAAUGAAUGCUUUAGUCUACCUUGAGGCAGUAUCAUUUUGUAGAUACAAGCGUUACGUUCUUCAUGCACUCCUUUGGUGCUUCCAGGUACUCUAUAAUUAAAGAUAUCUGGCAAAUGAUGCGGCGUUCUAUUUGAAAACGACAAUUACCUAACAGUUAGCUAGCGAUUCUACCUGAUUGGAAUUCUUUCUGUAAUGAAGAUGUUAAUCAGAAGAUUAUCCGUGUUCAGCUGCGCCAUAAUAUUCUGCAUUUACCGGUGUAUAGACUUGCUAGAUAUUAAAAUUUGCGGAAUACGAAAGUACCUGUACCCAAGUUACCUUUAGCGCUAUAACUAUGAUUCAUAUUUUUCCUGCGCACACUUCCAAGGAUCUCCAGCUAGCUGUCGAUGUAUUCACUAAACAGUGUUUCUUUUCCCUACCACUAACUGUUCUACUCAAAACUAUCUGAAGCCUCUUGAGCGUCACUUUCUGCCAUUGUUACGCCGUAACAGAGCGUUAACAGCGCUCCCAUAUAUAGGACUCUUCAUUGCAAUAGAGGAAAUGGAGGUUGUUCGAUUGCCUUUGCGAGUGCGAUCAAGAUAUCCUAUUGUUAUGCGGUGAGGCGUCAACAAAACGACAGAAGCGUAAACGAGCAGAGAGGUACAGUCCCUACAAAAGUUGUGAUCGGAGAGAUUCUGACAGCUGCUACUGUUUACGCAGUAUCGUGCCGAAAUACACUGCAGUAAAAGAAAGCUAUAUGCGUAAGCAACGAAAUCAAAAAUCAGUAUAUUGCUAUUCUACUAAUUUUUAUUGAUUAGAGUUGUUUAUCGUGUUAGACGCUGCCAGAACAUUUUUGUUUAUCGGGCCUUUCCGAAGUACUGACUCUCAGUUACCUACACAUACAUCUUACGCUAUUUGUGCCACGCGUGGCUUACCAUUUACGCAGAGGUAAACAACCUGUUUGUUCAACUAGGUCGGUAAUUAAUAGUGGGCUCAAUAAACACUUAGCACCCUCUCUUUAAAAAAAAUUAGAGGGUAAUUUCAACUUGGUGUAGUAGUCGAAACGAAGUUCUAGCAUUUCGUAAGUGGGCACUGUAAAUAGAUUAGGAUGGAAUAGGGAAAAAAUAGAAUUCUUGUGAUUUUCAAUAAGCAACGAUAACAUUGUUAAUAAUUAGCGUUGUAAUUUAUUAUGAAAACAAGCAUAUCUGCCCAUCUGAAAUAUCAAUACUUGAAUGCGCUUGACAUAAACUUGGCUUUGGAUAUUAGCGGUCGAUUUCGACAACAGCGGCCUUGUCAUGAAAGGCUCGUAGCUCUCUACUCCACAGAAACCUAUGCUUGGCCUGAGCCUCACCUAUGAAUAUUUCAUGUACAGGGAGACGACAGUAUACUUGAAUGUGGCCUGCUUAGCUCAGGUAAGCACAGCGCUUGAAGUUGUGCAAGCGAGAGACCGUUUGCAGAGAGUGAUGCGCUGGAACUCAACGGUGCGCGAUUUUAAUAAUGUGCAGAAGGAGAAAUGCGUCCUGAGAUGCAGCUGCUCUGAGUCAACUGUCGUAGAUAAGUUUGCUUUUUUUUGACGCUUUCGACUACAUGGACUAUGUGGACAAACCUUUCGAAUCACCCUCUUAGGGAUAGCGUCGAAAAAUUCGCUUCCGUUUAGGGCCUAACCAGAAUCGGGCUUCGCAAGAUAAAUCGAAAAUGGAUGUUUCACGUGUACCCCCAACACCCCACCGGCCAGUAGAGCUCAAUCAGGAUAGACUGUGCCCUUUUACGUAUUGGAGAGGGGAGUAUAUAUAUAUAUAUAUAUAUAUAUAUAUAUAUAUAUAUAUAUAUAUAUAUAUAUAUAUACUCCUAUAUAUAUAUCUAUCGGAAGACAAAGUCGGACUGGAACGCUUUCGAAGGCUCUCGCUUAUUAUAUGUUUUGUUUAUCCACAGCGCGUCUACCUCGUCACGAGGUGAAUCUAUUCAUGUCAAUGCGUUUUAGACGAGAGAUUUGCUAAAUACGUCGUAACUUUAAUAUAUAAUCAUUAGCAGUGCAUCGCACAUAGGGUGGCCAUGUAUUAAUUGUUUUCAUUUAUACAGAUACCACUGCAUCGACGAUGUUAGAGGACAUAUUAUAGAAAAAUACGAUGGCGCGAAAUCUGUCAUUUCGGUAUAGUUAUAUUUGAUCAGGGUGAAUAAGUACCUGUCUGACCCUUAUUUUUUUAUCUUACGUAUUGUAACUAGGACAAAACAAUGGCGGUAUUAUGUUGUGUGUAACAUUUACAAAGCUACUUAUAUUAACGGACGCUCUUAUUUGUAAAUACAGACGUUAAAAGGCAUUUUACUGAGGAAAUAUGCCCAAUUGGUCCUUUGUAUUCGUAGCUCAAAAUAAAUAGCUGAAUUCAUUCUCUGUUACUGUUUGAGUAAUGAUGAUAUUGCAGUCGCGUUUUGCAUGUACUAACGAAUGAGUAUGAUCAGUACUGACUCUAGGUAUUUUUUCAUAGGGCAUAUAUAACGCUGGUUGUCUUUUGUGUGCUGGUGCAUGCCAUCAGCACGUAUAUGCAGGUGUACACGAUGUUAAUUACACGAUUACGUUAAUUAACAUUACGUUAUUAUCUUAGGAAUAUCCAACUAUUGAUGCAACAGUGGCGCCACUAUAAAGGCUCGAUAUGCGUUCGGAUGUGCCGUUCUAAGGUAGGCAAACCCAUUUUUUAACUAUGGUCGACACGUAUUAUAUCUAAAGCCUCCGUUUCGACCGUUUCCCAUACGUAGAAAAAUGUUACAUCGCUAAUUGUAAUUGUUGGGAAUAUGCUAUCGACGUUGUGCGCCUAAAUGCACAUAAAGGUCACGGACAAACUAUUCGAAGAACUUGUUGAAGAAAAUACGUGACCCUAAGUCCAGCUCGCGACCUACAGCGAAAGCUUUUCAGGUAGUAGUGAGGAAACCGGAAGCACCAAGAAUAGCAGCCGACACGAUAGCAGACGACGCUAGGCAACAACAAAUAUUACUUAAAAUAAGCAUCUGAGAAACCUAUACACGGUAGCUGCGACAUGAGAUAUUGUAUGACAUUACGGACCUGAACGCAAUGUACGUUAUGCAAAUUUAUGCAUCGCGGAACAUCCUGGACAUCGUGAGACGGUGUCAUAACCAAACAUCUAUGAUUUUAGGCACGGUAAAUUCACUGUGUGACAUAAAACCAAGAGAGACAAAACGUCAUCCAUACCAUGGAAGCAUUUUCGUUUUCUGUCCUUACCAAAUAUUUUCAUAUCACUUUUAUGUAUAUCAUUGCUAAUUAAAGUAGAUAUGAGUGAGGUAGACAUGUCAGUUAUUUUGUGAAAAGUGCCAGUAGAAUAUUACAUAUUAUAUCUAUAUACGAGAAUUAGUACAGUCGCCAUAUAUUGCUAAGUGCCGGAUAACUCCGCAUGCCUUUAUAUGACUUAGGAGCGCUUUAGACUGCAGGUCACAACCACACAUAUACGGAUAUAUUUAUAUGGCUUAGGUUAAUUUGAGCCUUCGAAGAAUUUCUCGGGAUUUUCCACCCUAAUGGGUUUUCGGGUACCCUCCUCUCAGGCCCUCGCUGCCGGGGAUCACUUAGCCGUAAUCAGAGGCAUCUCUUUUGAACGGCACAAAGCUCCGACUAGAGAGGAGUGACACUGGAUAAACCUCCGUGAGUAGCAUAUGCUUGCCACCGAAACGAGCAAACUUACCAGAUUCAUCAAUAAAUGGAAGAGAACUCUUUGGUAACGUCCCAUUUGUUCACAUUGCAUCUUUCCUGUCGGACGCGAUGAUCUAAUCUAACCUAAUAACUAUAAUAAUAACAUUUAUCGGUAAUAUAAACAGCGAGGCUCAUGCAACAUAUAACAGAUUUUACAUGCUAAAGAAGGCUAGGUACAAGCAUAGGCAGUGCCUGCUGACGUCAAAGUUUAACUACGGCCCGCAACUAUUUUUCACACCGGUGCCUAUAGACGUAGAACAGUUAAUUCCAAAUACGUAUAGCCUGCGUCUGAAGUGUGAAUCAUCUUUUGUCAUGUCCAGCACGUACUGCGACGACCAUCAGAACUCACACCGUAUUUUAUCCCACAGUAUUAAGAAAACAGUCAGACUAUCUUUACUAUUUGUAGCCCUAAAAGCUAAAGCUAACGUUUCGAAAAUCAUUGAUGCAAAUGUACAACAAGAACUGAUAGUAGAUAAUUGUUUCGAAAGACUUUCAUCGACGUAGUGUUUAUGUGGUUGUUUGAAGAUAUACGGGUUCGAUCUUUAUGAAUUUAUUUUGAUCUGUCAGAGCUACGCUCACACACGCAGAGUCACACAUAAAAGCUUUCUAUAAAUUCUAAAUUAAUACGUUGCUCAUAGUUGUUUUCGUAGAUUUUCUACUUUUAACCAAGUACUUUAUUUAAAUAUAAAAAUCAUUAGCUUUACAAUGCGAUUUUAGAUCAAAGUAGGAAUAGAAAAGACAAUUAAUAAAGUAUAACCUUAUAGUGUAUGGCUUAAAUACAAUUGUACGCUGACGAAUGCACGGUCCUAUCUGUCAUUUACCAGCCCAAAAAGGAUACUCAUGCUCCUGUGUCUCACGUGUUUAAUGGUCUCCAAUAAUAUGCUCUCUUCGCAGUAGAUUUAACAUCUGAGAUAUGAGAAAUACUGCAGACAAGCUAUCUUUCCUGGGGUCAUCGCUUUUAUGGACAUCAAAUCAAAGCAGUUCAAAAAUCUGGUUCUACCUGUUAAUCAGCUCUGCCUUAGCCUUGCUCCCAAUCGACGCUUCUUAAACACCUUGUUGUCCUUAUUCUGGCCAACGUAUUCCUACGUCAUUCUGUAAUUUUGAUGGCUGGUCUGGGAUGUCACUGGGAUGUGAAUACUGCAAACCCCACAAGGCCGACACAGCAAAUAGUAAACUGUGUAGGAUUAGUCUCUCGAUUCUUAUAGGUCGGAUGACUGGUUAAGGUGAGGCAACCCUAAUGGCCGCUAGACACUGGUGUGAGUUUAAGGUCGUUCCUUACCACGCUCCAAAAUGGAAAGUCAGUAAAGUUAGCUUAGAAAUUGGAGCUAAUAAAUCCAUACAGACUAAGCGGUAACACCAAUAAAUGAAAGAGUGGGAUAAAUCCUUAGCCUAGGUUGGUCCGUCUUUCAUUUUAUCGGAUCCAACAUAUUUUACCAAAACUUCCUCAAAUAAGAGUCGAGAUGGAUACACCUUAAUUAGCCCAUUGAGUGGGUUAUAGACAAAUUAGUAAUCUGUCUGUACGGUCUGCUCGAUAAAUUUUGAGAGAGCAUAAUGAUCUAAGUUUGAAAUCCAACUUCGUUGCUCCGUGCAUGGAUUCAACGACACCUAGCAAAGUACUGGACGCGAGACUGGAUUCAUCAAAACAAUAAAAAAAAAAAAAAAAAAAACACUGGAAACUAUAAGUGAUAAUAUACCUCAUACAGCCUAGGUAUGAAGUACUAGUGUGUCGUAAUUUUCUUUCAAAGUCGACGGGAUAUACUUGGGGAAUAACUUGGAGUGGAUGCCCUUCGUUAUUUGUCUAUUUGUAAGUUAAGGCACUGACUAUGUGCAUGACUUCAAACCCCCCGCCCUAGCUAAUUAUAUAGGUAAUUAUACUGCAUGUGAAAGCGAUUCAAGCAAGAAGAUCGAUAUGUUUCGCAAUAGUUGCAAGAUAAUGAGUUUCUUGAUCCAGCCCGUGAACUGAAUUGUGCUACACCAUAGGCUCGCUGCCUUUCCCUGUUGCUACGAGCGCUAUGAGCGCGAACGAAAGAAUCCAACCUGUUUGUUCAUGUUAUUAUAGUCGUUUUAUUAUUACUCCAAAUGACAUUGUCCAUAUAUACGUAUAUAUAUACGGGCUUCGACACCACAUAGUGUUAUUAUGUAAUAUUCUUAUAGAUAGAUGUAUAGGGGAGAGGGUGACGUAUGGUCAUCAACAAUAAAUAUCAAUAAAAAACCGACAGUAAUCAACUUAGUCCGCUAUCUUCAACUGUGCCAUUUUUGCUUUGUUUGUCUGCGUUCGCUGUCCUUUAGGGUGAAUGAACAUCAUUAUUAUCAUCGUGGGGUAACAGUUCUUGUUAUUUUUGUUGCGGUUGGCGAUGUUAUCAUGGCGGCGGCGGUGGCGGCAGCAGCAUAAUCGUGAAGACAAUAUGAAGUCGAAACGGCUCAAUCCAUCCCGAUAGCUACUUCGACUCCUCUACCAUUUUUACUCCGAGCUGCUGUGGCUCUUCGUCCGGUGCCAGACGCAUUUUCAGACUGAUUAUGCUAAUAGUUACAACACGACGUGGUCCUAGUAGAUGUAAUAGUAUUAAUAAUAAGUAUCAAUAUGAAAACAAAUGAUUGCAGGUCAAUCUUCAUCUCCUCCAUAUCGGGUCGGCUAGCGGGUGUAAAAAUCAUAAUAUUACAUAUUCGCCUUUCGAUGCUGGGAGCCCGCCCAGAUCGGAGCAAGCAAACGCGCCCAUAAAUAGUCACGUUCUUGACGCAUAUAUAUAGCGCCUAUAGAUGACUCUGACAAGCAGAGGUUCGCACUUAUAGCCCGACAAGCGGGUGGGCCUAAUACAUAGCACAUGGAUAAACAUAGCACACAUUCGAAAAGAGACAAAUAACCAACGAGUAACAGGUGCACAAACUCACGGACUGCUAUACACUCGGCCGUAGUUUCGUCCCGUGCUAUAAGCGAAACCGCUGGUACUGAUGUGGGCGAUCAACAACGAAAGUUUUGCCAAGUUGAUUGUACAACAAUUGACUUAUAGCAGCCGAAAAUUGCUCGAAAUGAAAAGAAGGUAUGGAGAAUGAUGUUUUUUCUUGCGAAAAAAAAAAAAAA